rnacentral:lncRNA from 1 species
UCCACCCCUUCAGGGAACUAGGCAUCCUCGGGAUUCUAAACCCUCCUCGGGUUGAGAGGUAAGCAAAACAGGAGUACUGGGGGAGUUGUUUUAGGUCGAAGAACAUCCUACAUAGGUCGACAUACGGGAUAAUCCCUAGGUAUCUACAAGCAAUAAAAAAAUAUGUCAACAUCCUCCACCCGUUCGGCACUAACUGCCCCGGGCUCAUGUUAUGCUCGGUCAAGAGCGCGAGGAAAAAGGGGUGCAAUGGCCACCUAAAUCCCCCCUUUAGAGAAUCCUUG